GAUGAACGCUGGCGGCGUGCCUAAUACAUGCAAGUCGAGCGAACAGACGAGGAGCUUGCUCCUCUGACGUUAGCGGCGGACGGGUGAGUAACACGUGGAUAACCUACUUAUAAGACUGGGAUAACUUCGGGAAACCGGAGCUAAUACCGGAUAAUAUAUUGAACCGCAUGGUUCAAUAGUGAAAGACGGUUUUGCUGUCACUUAUAGAUGGAUCCGCGCCGCAUUAGCUAGUUGGUAAGGUAACGGCUUACCAAGGCGACGAUGCGUAGCCGACCUGAGAGGGUGAUCGGCCACACUGGAACUGAGACACGGUCCAGACUCCUACGGGAGGCAGCAGUAGGGAAUCUUCCGCAAUGGGCGAAAGCCUGACGGAGCAACGCCGCGUGAGUGAUGAAGGGCUUCGGAUCGUAAAACUCUGUUAUUAGGGAAGAACAAAUGUGUAAGUAACUAGGCACGUCUUGACGGUACCUAAUCAGAAAGCCACGGCUAACUACGUGC
rnacentral:rRNA from 1 species